GGGGAAUAUUGCACAAUGGGCGAAAGCCUGAUGCAGCAACGCCGCGUGAGUGAUGACGGUCUUCGGAUUGUAAAGCUCUGUCUUUUGGGACGAUAAUGACGGUACCAAAGGAGAAAGCCACGGAUAACUACGUGCCAGCAGCCGCGGUAAUACGUAGGUGGCAAGCGUUGUCCGGAUUUACUGGGCGUAAAGGAUGUGUAGGCGGAUACUUAAGUGAGAUGUGAAAGCCCCGGGCUCAACCUGGGGACUGCGUUGCAAACUGGGUAGCUAGAGUGCAGGAGAGGAAAGCGGAAUUCCUAGUGUAGCGGUGAAAUGCGUAGAGAUUAGGAAGAACAUCAGUGGCGAAGGCGGCUUUCUGGACUGUAACUGACGCUGAGGCAUGAAAGCGUGGGGAGCAAAC
rnacentral:rRNA from 1 species